rnacentral:rRNA from 1 species
AUGGCCACCGGAAGUAAAAUCAAAGAGAGCAAGCAGAGCCCUGAACUACCGAAACAAUUGCCAAUCGACUUUUUGAAGAAAAUUACUAACAAUUUCGCCGAAGAUCGAAUAAUAAGUGAAGGUCCUUUUGGAACACUUUACAAGGGAAUUGUACCAGAUGAUGACAAAGUGAUUGCUGUGAAGAAACUUCAGGACAACGCACCAAUGUCAGCUGACAAAACAUUUAGUAAAGAGGUUCAGAAUAUUAUGGCGCUCAAGCAUGUAAACAUAGUAGAGUUGGUUGGAUUCUGCACUGAAACACAGAAGAAAUUGGUGCAGUUUGAUAAAAGAUAUAUCCAGGCAGACAUCACUGAAAGUUUAAUCUGCUACGAAUAUUUACCUAACGGGAGCCUUCAAGCGAAUCUAUUUGAUACCAAAGCAUCAGCUAAACAGGAAAUCAAUUGGGACACACGCUUCAAAAUAAUCAAGGGGAUUUGCCAGGGAUUGUUUUUCCUACACAAGUUGGAUAUUCCCAUAGUCCAUAUGGAUUUGAAGCCUGAAAAUAUAUUGUUGGGUGUAGAUAUGGUGCCAAAGAUCGCAGACUUUGCACUAUCAAGAGUCUUUGGCCAAGAACAAACCCGAUUAUGCACACAAACAGUUGUGGGAUCUUAUGGCUACAUGGCUCCAGAAUAUCUUUACAGAGGUGAAAUCUCGGCCCAGUCAGACAUAUAUAGUUUAGGCCUAUUGAUAAUCGAGAUCACCACAGGAGAGCAGAAUCCUCGUGAACAACCGUCUGCAAGAAAUUUUGUUGAUAAAGUACGUAAAGAUUGGACACUGCAGCAUAUAACAUCCCACUCCAAGUAUGCAUCGUUAGAUUCAGGAAGCCUCCAAGAAGUUAAAACAUGCAUUGAAAUUGGGAUUAGAUGUGUAGAAAUCGAUCGGAGAAAUAGACCUCCCAUAGAAGAAAUCGUUGGCACACUCGAAGGACUACGUCCAAGCUAA